GACGAACGCUGGCGGCGUGCUUAACACAUGCAAGUCGAACGGAAAGGCCCUGCUUGCCGGGUACUCGAGUGGCGAACGGGUGAGUAACACGUGGGUGAUCUGCCCUGCACUUCGGGAUAAGCCUGGGAAACUGGGUCUAAUACCGGAUAGGAGCCAUUUUUAGUGUGAUGGUUGGAAAGUUUUUUCGGUGUAGGAUGAGCUCGCAGCCUAUCAGCUUGUUGGUGGGGUAAUGGCCUACCAAGGCGGCGACGGGUAGCCGGCCUGAGAGGGUGGACGGCCACAUUGGGACUGAGAUACGGCCCAGACUCCUACGGGAGGCAGCAGUGGGGAAUAUUGCACAAUGGGCGCAAGCCUGAUGCAGCGACGCCGCGUGGGGGAUGACGGCCUUCGGGUUGUAAACGCCUUUCGCUAGGGACGAAGCUUUUUGUGACGGUACCUAGAGAAGAAGCACCGGCUAACUACGUG
rnacentral:rRNA from 1 species